rnacentral:lncRNA from 1 species
CCGGCCGCAAGUGGAUAAUAUUAAUAGUGUAAAAAUAUGGAAGUGUUCGGUAAAAAGGAAGUUGUCGAGUGAUGAAUCUGAAAACGCAUCACACAGUAUAGCUGACUUAUAAAAAUCCUGAAACCAAAUUUUAGAAAUCCUUGUAUUGUAGUUCCUGAGAAAAAUGUGACGAAAAUUUUUAACUUGGUUAUCAUGUGUAAAUUCAUACAAGUGUUCGGUAAACAGGAAGUUGUCGAGUGAUGAAUCUGAAAACGCAUCACACGGUAUAGCUGACUUAUAUAAAUCCUGAAACCAAAUUUCAGAAAUCCUUGUAUUGUAGUUCCUGAGAAAAAUGUGACGGAAAUUUUCAACUUGGCUAUCAUGUGUAAAAUCAUACAAGUGUUCGGUAAAC